rnacentral:rRNA from 1 species
ACGAACGCUGGCGGCGUGCUUAACACAUGCAAGUCGAACGGAAAGGCCCUGCUUUUGUGGGGUGCUCGAGUGGCGAACGGGUGAGUAACACGUGAGUAACCUGCCCUUGACUUUGGGAUAACUUCAGGAAACUGGGGCUAAUACCGGAUAGGAGCUCCUGCUGCAUGGUGGGGGUUGGAAAGUUUCGGCGGUUGGGGAUGGACUCGCGGCUUAUCAGCUGGUUGGUGGGGUAGUGGCUUACCAAGGCUUUGACGGGGAGCCGGCCUGAGAGGGUGACCGGCCCCAUUGGGACUGAGAUACGGCCCAGACUCCUACGGGAGGCAGCAGUGGGGAAUAUUGCACAAUGGGCGGAAGCCUGAUGCAGCAACGCCGCGUGCGGGAUGACGGCCUUCGGGUUGUAAACCGCUUUCGCCUGUGACGAAGCGUGAGUGACGGUAAUGGGUAAAGAAGCACCGGCUAACUACGUG